rnacentral:tRNA from 1 species
GCCUGGGUAGCUCAGCUGGUAGAGCAACGGAUUGAAAAUCCGUGUGUCGGCGGUUCAAACCCGACUCCAGGCACCA